UACAGAGGGUGCAAGCGUUAAUCGGAAUUACUGGGCGUAAAGAGCUCGUAGGCGGCUUGUCACGUCGGGUGUGAAAGCCCGGGGCUUAACCCCGGGUCUGCAUUCGAUACGGGCUAGCUAGAGUGUGGUAGGGGAGAUCGGAAUUCCUGGUGUAGCGGUGAAAUGCGCAGAUAUCAGGAGGAACACCGGUGGCGAAGGCGGAUCUCUGGGCCAUUACUGACGCUGAGGAGCGAAAGCGUGGGGAGCGAACAGG
rnacentral:rRNA from 1 species